GACGAACGCUGGCGGCGUGCUUAACACAUGCAAGUCGAACGGAAAGGCCCUGCCUUUGUGGGGUGCUCGAGUGGCGAACGGGUGAGUAACACGUGAGUAACCUGCCCUUGACUUUGGGAUAACUUCAGGAAACUGGGGCUAAUACCGGAUAGGAGCUCCUGCUGCAUGGUGGGGGUUGGAAAGUUUCGGCGGUUGGGGAUGGACUCGCGGCUUAUCAGCUUGUUGGUGGGGUAGUGGCUUACCAAGGCUUUGACGGGUAGCCGGCCUGAGCGGGUGACCGGCCAAACUGGGACUGAGAGACGGCCCAGACUCCUACGGGAGGCAGCAGUGGGGAAUAUUGCACAAUGGGCGGAAGCCUGAUGCAGCAACGCCGCGUGCGGGAUGACGGCCUUCGGGUUGUAAACCGCUUUCGCCUGUGACGAAGCGUGAGUGACGGUAAUGGGUAAAGAAGCACCGGCUAACUACGUG
rnacentral:rRNA from 1 species